AACGAACGCUGGCGGCAUGCCUAACACAUGCAAGUCGAACGAGACCUUCGGGUCUAGUGGCGCACGGGUGCGUAACGCGUGGGAAUCUGCCCUUGGGUUCGGAAUAACAGUUGGAAACGACUGCUAAUACCGGAUGAUGACGUAAGUCCAAAGAUUUAUCGCCCAGGGAUGAGCCCGCGUAGGAUUAGCUAGUUGGUGGGGUAAAGGCCUACCAAGGCGACGAUCCUUAGCUGGUCUGAGAGGAUGAUCAGCCACACUGGGACUGAGACACGGCCCAGACUCCUACGGGAAGCAGCAGUGGGGAAUAUUGGACAAUGGGCGAAAGGCUGAUCCAGCAAUGACGCGUGAGUGAUGAAGGCCUUAGGGUUGUAAAACUCUUUUACCCGGGAUGAUAAUGACAGUACCGGGAGAAUAAGCCCCGGCUAACUCCGUG
rnacentral:rRNA from 1 species